rnacentral:tRNA from 1 species
GGGCAGAUGGCUCAGUGGUAGAGUGCUUGCCUUGCAUGCAUGAGGCCCUGGGUUCGAUUCCUCAGCACC